GCUUUUAUAGCUGAAUAUCAUACAUCUUAUAUAUAUUUUUUUGUUUUCUCUAUUUUGUUUCUUUCUUUUUUUUGUGUUGGCAUUUGUGGCGGUCGACAGCGGUGAGAAACCAUGCCUUGCCAUUUCAGUGAAAGGAAGGCAGAUCUCGGGCAACACGCCUGCUGACGUGGAGAGGAACGGCGGCGACUGGUGAAAUCUUAAAGGUGGCUAGGGUUUAUUAUUUUGUUUUUCGAUUUUGGGUUUUGGGCUUUUUGGGUUUUCAGAUUAGCAGAUUGGAUAUUUAGGGUUUUGGGCUUGUAAAUGGACUUUUUCUUAAUGGACUUUUAUUAUUUUUAUUUAUUUGUUUUUGUUUGGGCCGAAUAGAUUUGGGCCAUUAUAGUCUGGAUUGACAAACAUUGGAUAAGACUGACGACAGAUAAAUCCUAAAUUCGUUUAUGAAUUUAUUCACUCUUGGUAUUUAUAGUGUGACUUACAUUAAUC
rnacentral:lncRNA from 1 species